rnacentral:rRNA from 1 species
GACGAACGCUGGCGGCGUGCUUAACACAUGCAAGUCGAACGGAAAGGCCCUGCUUUUGUGGGGUGCUCGAGUGGCGAACGGGUGAGUAACACGUGAGUAACCUGCCCUUGACUUUGGGAUAACUUCAGGAAACUGGGGCUAAUACCGGAUAGGAGCUCCUGCUGCAUGGUGGGGGUUGGAAAGUUUCGGCGGUUGGGGAUGGACUCGCGGCUUAUCAGCUUGUUGGUGGGGUAGUGGCUUACCAAGGCUUUGACGGGUAGCCGGCCUGAGAGGGUGACCGGCAACAUGGGGACGGAGAUACGGCCCAGACCCCGAGGGGAGGAAGCAGGGGGGAAUAUUGCACAAGGGGCGGAAGCCUGAUGCAGCAACGCCGGGGGGGGGAUGACGGCCUUGGGGUUUUAAACCGCUUUCCCCUGUGACGAAGGGUGGGUGACGGUAAUGGGUAAAGAAGCACCGGCUAACUACGU